UACAGAGGGUGCGAGCGUUGUUCGGAAUUAUUGGGCGUAAAGGGUGCGUAGGCGGGUCUUUAAGUCAGGGGUGAAAUCCUGGAGCUCAACUCCAGAACUGCCUUUGAUACUGAGGAUCUUGAGUUCGGGAGAGGUGAGUGGAACUGCGAGUGUAGAGGUGAAAUUCGUAGAUAUUCGCAAGAACACCAGUGGCGAAGGCGGCUCACUGGCCCGAUACUGACGCUGAGGCACGAAAGCGUGGGGAGCAAACAGG
rnacentral:rRNA from 1 species